rnacentral:rRNA from 1 species
UGGGGAAUUUUGCGCAAUGGGCGAAAGCCUGACGCAGCAACGCCGCGUGUGUGAUGAAGGUCUUCGGAUUGUAAAGCACUUCCGACCGGGACGAAAACCCUGAGGCUAAUACUCUCAGGCUUGACGGUACUGGGAGAAGAAGCACCGGCUAACUCUGUGCCAGCAGCCGCGGUAAUACAGAGGGUGCAAGCGUUGUUCGGAAUUAUUGGGCGUAAAGCGCGUGUAGGCGGCUUUGCAAGUCGGGUGUGAAAGCCCUCAGCUCAACUGAGGAAGUGCGCCCGAAACUGCAGAGCUUGAGUGCCGGAGAGGGUGGCGGAAUUCCCCAAGUAGAGGUGAAAUUCGUAGAUAUGGGGAGGAACACCGGUGGCGAAGGCGGCCACCUGGACGGUAACUGACGCUGAGACGCGAAAGCGUGGGGAGCAAAC